rnacentral:rRNA from 1 species
AGUGAACGCUGGCGGUAGGCCUAACACAUGCAAGUCGAACGGCAGCACAGUAAGAGCUUGCUCUUACGGGUGGCGAGUGGCGGACGGGUGAGGAAUACAUCGGAAUCUACUUUUUCGUGGGGGAUAACGUAGGGAAACUUACGCUAAUACCGCAUACGACCUACGGGUGAAAGCAGGGGAUCUUCGGACCUUGCGCGAUUGAAUGAGCCGAUGUCGGAUUAGCUAGUUGGCGGGGUAAAGGCCCACCAAGGCGACGAUCCGUAGCUGGUCUGAGAGGAUGAUCAGCCACACUGGAACUGAGACACGGUCCAGACUCCUACGGGAGGCAGCAGUGGGGAAUAUUGGACAAUGGGCGCAAGCCUGAUCCAGCCAUACCGCGUGGGUGAAGAAGGCCUUCGGGUUGUAAAGCCUUUUUGUUGGGAAGGAAAAGCAGCAGGUUAAUACCCCGCUGUUCUGACGGUACCCAAAGAAUAAGCACCGGCUAACUUCGUG